AGUUGGCUUCCUGUUCCUCUCAUCAGGCCUUCCCUGUCUUGAUGGAUUGUGCCAUCUGGAGAUGUGCAAUGUUGGAGGAAAUAACCCAGUACUGUAACUGGCAGGGAUGGAAUCUCCUCUGUCUUUAGCCACAAAGCUAACAUGGCCAGCUUUGUCAAAGGGAAGAGUCCUACUGGAGGAAGUAUCACUGGGGGUGGAUCUUGAGUCCAGCCCUAAUGUGUCAUUCAGAAUCAACUUGUGUUUGUGGGGAGACCUGUGCAUCAAGUGUCAUCCUGAGCUCUGCCUUUCACCUCUGCCAUGGAUGUAUGAAGUGAGUCAGCUUCUGCCAUGAUGAACCUUCUCCUGGAAUCUACUCUGCAGCUGCAGUCCCCAACAGUCUCCUCCUCCUCCUGAGCGAUGCUGCGGGCGACCAGAUGGUUGAAGUCCAGUCGCCGCGAUGUGGCUCAAGCCCGGGGAGGUGCUGGGGAAGGAUGGCCUGAAGCUCUGGGGGACCCAGAAGAGCAGCGGCUGCUUUCUCCUGCAGCGACGCCGCGGCACGG